AUUGAGACCACAUGGGUUAUUAGGGCAUACUGCAAGAAGGAAAUGAAGGCCACCCUUCCUUAAGCAGAGCGGGUCACCCUUCCUCUUUGUAUUUAGAUGUAUUAUUGGUUAUUAGUAAAGAAAAAAAGAAAGUCUAGUGUCAGUGCUCCAGUGUAUCCCAGUCCCUUGGUUUACUUCUCCUGAUGACAUUCUCUUCUGCCCCUCCUGAUGACAUUCUCUUCUGCCCCUCCUGAUGACAUUCCAAACACACUGCAGCCUAAGAGGCAGGACAGCUCAUGCGUAAACAGAGCAAUUGGGGAAGACCAAAGCAACGGUUUUGAAACAGGCGAUGUCCCACUGCAGCUCCCACUGCAACUCCCACAGCAGUGUGCCAUCUUGGCCUGUGAAUGGCUAAAUGGAUAGGUCCCGCUCCGACCUCUCAUUUUGGAAGAAGGCAGAAGAGAUGAAUAUCGGGGGAUAGGAGAAAGUGAACAGGAGCUGUGAGGACCCUGGACUUCUCUAUUGCUCUCCGUUAUUGUACUCCGUAAUCUCCUGGCUUAAACUCGGCUUGUUUGGACUUCCCUUUGCUUGCAAAUGAUUGAGAACUUGAUAAAAUUGCAGUAGAAGAAAAUACCAGCAUACAGGUGCAAGAAGAUCAUAGAUGGCUAUAAAGAACAUUUGGAGGCCAAUGAAGACAAUCCAAUGGAGACAAAAAGGCUAAGGGAAGGGCACCUUUAAUCCUUUCCGUGUCACUUGCUAUGUUUAUUCUUUAUUCCUUGUUUGAAAUGACUAUGUAUGUCGACAGGUCCACUUUUUUGUUGAAUGAUUUUUGGCCAUACUAUUGAGACUAUUGGUACUUUACAAUCGAGGGUGCCAAUAACUAUCAUAAUCAUUUGUGUCAUAUUACUUAGCCCCACCCUGCUUAUAUUGUAAAUUAUUAACAUGUGAAUACGGCAGGCAAAGUAGAAUUAUGACCAAGAAUUGUAAAAUAAUAUUAAACCUGUAAAGAUUUGUGCCAAUUUUAUAAUGCCUAAUCCACUUUCUUUUUGUAACACCAUCUAUUAACUUUUUUAAAGCAGAGUUUUUGCCAAAUAUUUGCUUACCCAUACACUAAUAAAGCAUUUUGAUAUGUUGGCAAAGGCAGAGUUUUUUUCACAAAGCAUUUUGUUAGAGCUUUCUAAAUAUAUUUACACACACUGAACAACAGCCACUAUGGUAUAGAAACCAUAAUGCAUGCCCAGAAUAGUACAGUAUACAGCCUUCUUAGUUAGUUGUUUUCAGCUGUUCAGCUUGACAUUCAGUUUUACCUGAUAACCAGGCCUCCUUUUCCUCAAAUUUAUCAUAGGAAUACCUACGCCUAUAGGCUGAAGUAGUAAAGAAAGUUGAAUUCUGGCUCUGAUCUUGAAUUAUAUACAUAAUAGUUACAUAAAAUGAAAUAGCAUGCACACUAUGUCAAAUAUGUGGUUGGAGUUUAUAUGUUCUACCAGUUUUUGCAUUGAUAUACAUUCCAGGCUCUACACAUGCUAAUUCAUAGUUUAUUUAAAACAUUAGCCCUGCUGUAUAGGUGUGUAUUUAGACAAGGAACCUAGAUUGUAAGCUCUAUUGGGUUUGUCUGAAAGGGGUACUCUGCUGCAAACCUCUUAUCCCCCAUCUAAAGGAUAGGGGAUAAGAUGUUAGAUUGCAGGGGUCCCGCCGCUGGGGACCCCCGCGAUCUCCGGCAUGAUGCCCCUUCAUUUGGCGCACAAAGCGAACUCU